UACAGAGGUCUCAAGCGUUGUUCGGAUUCAUUGGGCGUAAAGGGUGUGUAGGUGGCGCGCUAAGUCGGGUGUGAAAUUUCGGAGCUUAACUCCGAAACUGCAUUCGAUACUGGCGCGCUUGAGGACUGGAGAGGAGACUGGAAUUCAUGGUGUAGCAGUGAAAUGCGUAGAGAUCAUGAGGAAGACCAGUGGCGAAGGCGGGUCUCUGGACAGGUACUGACACUCAACUACGAAAGCGUGGGGAGCAAACAGG
rnacentral:rRNA from 1 species